CAGCACCUCAAGUGGUCAGGAUGAUUAUUGGGCCUAAAGCAUCCGUAGCCGGCACUGUAAGUUUUCGGUUAAAUCUGUAUGCUCAACAUACAGGCUGCCGGGAAUACUGCAGAGCUAGGGAGUGGGAGAGGUAGACGGUACUCGGUAGGAAGGGGUAAAAUCCUUUGAUCUAUUGAUGACCACCUGUGGCGAAGGCGGUCUACCAGAACACGUCCGACGGUGAGGGAUGAAAGCUGGGGGAGCAAACCGGAUUAGAUACCCGAGUAGUCC
rnacentral:rRNA from 1 species